AUCAUUGGGUUUAAAGGGUCCGUAGGCGGAUAAUUAAGUCAGGGGUGAAAUCCCACAGCUCAACUGUGGCACUGCCUUUGAUACUGGUUAUCUUGAGUUAUAGGGAAGUAGAUAGAAUAUGUAGUGUAGCGGUGAAAUGCAUAGAUAUUACAUAGAAUACCGAUUGCGAAGGCAGUCUACUACCUAUAUACUGACGCUAAGGGACGAAAGCGUGGGGAGCGAACAGGAUUAGAUACCCUGGUAGUCCACGCCGUAAACGAUGGAUACUAGCUGUUGGGCGUAAGCUCAGUGGCCAAGCGAAAGUGAUAAGUAUCCCACCUGGGGAGUACGUUCGCAAGAUC
rnacentral:rRNA from 1 species